UCAAAAUUAAAUUAAGAAAAAUUGCGUCAUGUAGAAUCGCUCAGUCAGCAGACUCGACGAAGUGGAGCGUAUCGCGUGGCAAGACACGCUAACUCGGUGCCACGUGGGAGGCCAUGCUGGCAAUCCGUGUACCCGCGAUCGGACGAUCUGGAAGCAUUCCCACGAGUGUGGACAUUCCGGAUCCGUUCCCUCCUCAGACGCAAUCG
rnacentral:lncRNA from 1 species